rnacentral:rRNA from 1 species
CACACGACUCUCGGCAACGGAUAUCUCGGCUCUCACAUCGAUGAAGAACGUAGCGAAAUGCGAUACCUGGUGUGAAUUGCAGAAUCCCGUGAACCAUCGAGUCUUUGAACGCAAGUUGCGCCCGAGGCCAUCCGGCCGAGGGCACGCCUGCCUGGGCGUCACGC